UACGUAGGGGGCAAGCGUUGUCCGGAUUUAUUGGGCGUAAAGCGCUCGCAGGUGGUUCGUCGCGUCGUGCGUGGAAGACCCCGGCUCAACUGGGGGGUGUCGUGCGAUACGGGCGGACUGGAGGCCAGUAGGGGGAUGCGGAAUUCCGGGUGUAGUGGUGGAAUGCGUAGAGAUCCGGAGGAACACCAGCGGCGAAGGCGGCAUCCUGGACUGGUCCUGACACUCAGGAGCGAAAGCGUGGGGAGCGAUCCGG
rnacentral:rRNA from 1 species